GGAGGCUCAGUGGUAGAGCACUUGCCUAGCAUGCAUGAAGCCCUGAGUUCCAUUCCUCAGCACCA
rnacentral:tRNA from 1 species